rnacentral:lncRNA from 1 species
UGUGGAAUGAUGGUACAGAGACAGAAAGUUGAUGGGAUGACCCAAACAGGUUCCCUAAUGCUAAAUGUGGGUAAAGCCACUCAGCCAAGUAAGCUCUUCCUGAAAUUUGCUCUUUGUUUGUAUUGCAGUAUUUUAGACUCUACAUACUGGGAAGAAAAAGGGUUAUUUUUCUCCCAUCAUGUUACCAAAAUGAAUGCGCAAUCAUGGAUUAUUACGAUAGAAGUUUGGUGAAAAACAGUUCGCUCCUUUCUGAAUUGCAACAAGUUCUGUCUUCCUCAGCCCACCACGUUCUGCCAUCAGAUGUCUUUGGGAUCCUCAGAUGUCUCCCAGGUAUCCUCUGCUGCCUCCUUCCUCCACAGAGGAAGCGGUCUCCUUCCUCCACUUCCUACUGAAAUGUGGCAUACGAGCAGCGAACAGACAAAUUAGAUAUGCCCUGCCUACUCAGUGAGAGAGGAAGGGGGUUAGUUGGUCAGUUAUUCCAGAUGGUGUUAUGAGUAUGUUUUAUUGUUUUGUAACAGUUGCAGUUGGCAAAACCACAUGCUUUUCUUCUUGACAAAGGGAAAUUGUUAAUAACACACUUGUCACAAGAAGGCCACACUAGGCCCGCAGAAACUGUCAUGGCUGCCUGCAGGCAGCCAGCUCCUCUGCCAGGUGAGUGGUGCUUCCAAAGUGGUGUUGCUGUUCCCCUGGUGACAUGUUUUCAUCCCAGUGACCGCAUAACAUGCACUGCCCCUAAAUGAGGCUAUAUGCCUACAGUUGUUGGAGUGCAUCUUUAAUUUCAUAAUCUCUAGUCUGACAGAAUAGACUCAGGGGAGUUGCACUGAUAUGAAAUGAGCUUUGUUUAACUACCCAUGCCUAAUUGCAGAUCACUCACUGCAGGGUUUCUUCAGGAAGAGACACCGUAAACCACUUUGAAAAUCCAAGUACAAAGGCUUGCAGUAGAAAUGCCAAAGAUCUAUGCUGCCACCCUAUAGCACUGGGUUGUUGGGUGAUGUGGCUUUCCACAGUACCAGUGUCCCCCCAGACUGGUCUGUGACACAGGAAGGGAGAGGGGCUGACUGGCUUCUCACAGAGAGUAGGAAUCCACAGCUGCUGACAGAAAGAGUUUUUUUUUUUUUUAAAUGAUGAGUGUGAGUUAGGGGAAGCAAAGGGAAGGCAGUUGUUCUCCUGGCAAACUGGAGCCUAACAUGUUUUAAUGAAUGAAGAAAUAUGUUAUGCAAACCUUUAGAAAGAGAAAUGUUUCAAACUGAGCUGUAGGCACAGGGUCACACAGGGCAUAGGACUGAAAGGGUUCAGUCCCUUCAGCACCUAGCAUGACAGUUAAAUUGGUUAAACUAAGCCGGCAUCUUCCUCAGGAGGAGUGAGGCUAGAAACAAACCAAUUAGGCAGGGUGACAGUGGUGGACUGGUGAUAAGCCUGUUACAUUUUUGGCCAGGUGAGAUGAAUUAGGGAUUUGAGAGGAAGAAGUUAAACUGAGAACUGAUGUAGCUGUACCUGUUGGUUUUUUCCCCUUCUUGUUGUUUGUUUUAGCAGAAUGACUUGCUUAAUUUUCAUUCAGCAAUAGUCCCUUAAGAAUUCAUUUAUCCAUUCAUAAAUCAGAACUUUUCUGUAACUGGAUUUAACUCACAAAUCUAAUGAAACUGUCAGGUAUCACACGUACAGUGGCAGAUGUUUAAAGUGGACUAUUCGUGGGAUUUGUGUAGGGAAGGGAGAUGGCAUCCAUAAAUGCAUUGGUGCUGUUUUCUCAGAGAAAUGGAAAUUGUCUUUGGAGUCCUUGAGUUAGAGCAUCUGUCAGGGUGAUAUGGCAAGAAGGAUCAGGAGAGCCACUGUGUUGUGACUGGCUGACCUAAGCUGUCCUUUGGUUGUUUACUGGUUCUGCUGGACCCAGGACUGCUCUGCUUUAUCCCAGGGUCUUCUACUGGUACUUAAAGGAGGGUAAAAAAUAGUUCAUUCUCUUCACCUCUGUUCAGCUAAUUAAUUCUAUGUUUCUCUGAAUAAAGUAAUUGAGAGUUUCUGUUGUACA